rnacentral:rRNA from 1 species
UACGUAGGGUGCAAGCGUUGUCCGGAAUUAUUGGGCGUAAGGAGCUCGUAGGCGGUCUGUCGCGUCUGCUGUGAAAACUCGGGGCUUAACCCCGGGCCUGCAGUGGGUACGGGCAGACUAGAGUGCGGUAGGGGAGUCUGGAAUUCCUGGUGUAGCGGUGAAAUGCGCAGAUAUCAGGAGGAACACCGAUGGCGAAGGCAGGUCUCUGGGCCAUAACUGACGCUGAGAAGCGAAAGCAUGGGGAGCGAACAGG